rnacentral:rRNA from 1 species
UAUGGUACCAGCAGCCGCGGUAAAACGUAGGUCACAAGCGUUGUCCGGAAUUACUGGGUGUAAAGGGAGCGCAGGCGGGAAGACAAGUUGGAAGUGAAAUCUAUGGGCUCAACCCAUAAACUGCUUUCAAAACUGUUUUUCUUGAGUAGUGCAGAGGUAGGCGGAAUUCCCGGUGUAGCGGUGGAAUGCGUAGAUAUCGGGAGGAACACCAGUGGCGAAGGCGGCCUACUGGGCACCAACUGACGCUGAGGCUCGAAAGUGUGGGUAGCAAACAGG